AAAUUGUUUGGUUCAGUUGGGGAGACGAUCACGCCUUAAUUGGAAUGAGAGACUUCGGGAGUUUUAGUUAUUCUAUUUGGACACCCAAAUGGGCCGAUGGUUGUUCUACAGGUGAAAACAAUGU
rnacentral:pre_miRNA from 1 species